AUAAGCCGGUUGUGAAAGCCCCGGGCUCAACCUGGGAACGGCAUCCGGAACUGUCAAGCUAGAGUGCAGGAGAGGAAGGUAGAAUUCCCCGGUGUAGCGGUGAAAAUGCGUAGAGAUCGGGGAGGAAUACCAGUGGCGAAGGCGGCUUUCUGGACUGACACUGACACUGAGGUGCGAAAGCGUGGGUAGCAAACAGGAUUAGAUACCCUGGUAGUCCACGCCGUAAACGAUGUCGACCAGCCGUUGGGUGCCUAGCGCACUUUGUGGCGAAGUUAACGCGAUAAGUCGACCGCCUGGGGAGUACGGCCGCAAGGUUAAAACUCAAAUGAAUUGACGGGGGCCCGCACAAGCGGUGGAGCAUGUGGUUUAAUUCGAUGCAACGCGAAGGACCUUACCUACUCUUGACAUCCUGCGAACUUGUGAGAGAUCACUUGGUGCCUUCGGGAACGCAGAGACAGGUGCUGCAUGGCUGUCGUCAGCUCGUGUUGUGAAAUGUUGGGUUAAGUCCCGUAACGAGCGCAACCCUUGUCCUUAUUUGCCAGCGCGUAAUGGCGGGAACUCUAAGGAGACUGCCGGUGACAAACCGGAGGAAGGUGGGGACGACGUCAAGUCAUCAUGGCCCUUACGAGUAGGGCUACACACGUGCUACAAUGGCCGGUACAAAGGGUUGCGAGCUCGCGAGAGUCAGCUAAUCCCGAAAAGCCGGUUUCAGUCCGGAUCGGAGUCUGCAACUCGACUCCGUGAAGUCGGAAUCGCUAGUAAU
rnacentral:rRNA from 1 species